rnacentral:lncRNA from 1 species
AAACACUUUUACUAGAUUAAUUCUUUGAAUUUUUGGAAUUCUCUUCUGCAGUUGUUCUCUAAUAAUAUGCCUUCUUCAAUCUGUUGAUGCAUGUGUACCAUUAUUCUGUUAGAAGUAAUGCAUGUUGAUUUAUUGUGACAUAGAAAAUAUUUUAAAGAUAUAAAGGAAAAUUACACAUCUUUCUCACCCUCAAGUCAGACUAUGUUGCUUUCAUAGCUACUAUCUAUGUAUUCACCACAGUAGAUUGCACACUUCACAGAGAGAAAGGAUCCUCAGAUUUUUCACCAGGUAGUUAACCCCUUGCAUGAUACGCAGUUUGUGGGAGGCACAGUAAAAAAUAUGAAUGUUAAAAAUGUUUUUUCACAAUACCAUCCUCUCUUAAGGAAGAUCACAAUGAUGCUCUCUUACAUAUUAAAGUAGACAAUUGAAGCAAGAGUACACAAUAAACAGCUGCUUAUUAUUUAAAAAGAGAUCAUUUGCAGGAAAGUGUGUGUCUGCACUGCAGAGAUUUUUAAAUCAUCCUUAUUUAUUGUAUCUGUUGUUGUUUUUACACAAGGCAUCUGUAUUGUAGGUCCCAGAUGAUGUUAGCUUUCUCUUAGGCAAAUUCUAAGCCAAGCUUCUGAUCCUCUCUAGAAUAUGUUUUCCUUUUGUAGGCUUUUUGGAAAUUCCUUUAAGCAGAGUUCUUUCCCUGGGGUCUUGUUGGUCAUGGAGAUGGGAGAGGAUAUAAUUAUUCUUCAGAAAAGCUACACAUGUCCACUGAUAGUGGACAAUACCAAACAAGAGGGCACUCCCCACCCAAUAUUAGCAUUCCUUCAUUUGUUUUUCCCAGGCAAUUUCCAUGCUUUCCUACAUUAUGGAAUUUUUCUCUCAUUUGAAUUAUAAAUAUCUCAGUAUAUGUUCGUAAAAUAUUAAGAACUAUAUUAUUGCACCUAAAAAGUUUACAAUUCCUUAUUAUCAUCAGAUACAUAGUCUUUGUUCUUAACAAUUUUUUAAAAAUAAUUUUAGUUAGGAUUCAGAUAGGGUUCACACAUUGAAAUUGCUUGAUUUGUUUUUAAAGUCUCCAAUAUGUAGAUUUCCCCUUCCAUCUUUUUUUCUGUUUGUUUUUGGAAGAACUGAUGUAUUUAAGAAGUUUUCCACAUUUGGAAUCUUGCUAUUAUUUCUCUGUUUUCUGCAUAUGCAGUUAUUAGAUGUAAAGGCUUGAUCAGAUUCAGGAUUAAAUUUUUGACAAGAAUGCUUCAUUGAUGGUCAAGUAUACUUCACUACACAAUAAAUACCCACUUAUGUUUGGAUGGUCAUUGCCUUGGAUUACUCUCACAUACUUAAGCAAUUAUAUGAGUUACAAACAGAACUACUCAUUGAUUGAUUGAUCGUUGAUUGAAAGAAUGACUGGCAGGGAAAAAACCCACCAUAUUCAGACUUGAAUAUUUGGCAGAAGACUUAUUUUUUGCUAAUGCUAAAAUUUGAGAUUUCAAACAAAAUUAGAAUUUUGGAAAACUUGCCUCUUAAUACCAGUAGCAUGAUAGCUUUCCAAUUACUUUCUAAAGAAAUUUGUUGGUAUUAAAAACAGUGUUUGUUUGUUGUUGUUUUAAUAGUAAAAUGAGAUUUUUUUAAUAGUGUAAAAUGAGAUUUGGGAGAUCCACAUAACUAAUAUUUUCCAAUGCAUAACCAGUGUUUUCCAAAUGACCCACAAAUUGCAUUUUAAAAUGAUACAUAAGUGAAAUAUCUAACAUAAUAGGCAAAGUUUUUUGGUUUUUUGUUGUUUGUUUUUUGUUUUAAUAGGGUUUCAAAUUCUACAUUUCAAUAAACAAUGAUACGACAAUUGGAUAUUCACAUGCAAAAGAAGGUGGACUCAGUUGGACUUCCUUCUCAUAGCAUAUACAAAAAUUACCUCAAAAUAUUUGUUUUUGGUAUCAGAGAUUGAAUCCAGGGGCUCUUAACCACUGGGUGACAUCUCUAGCCCUUUGUUGAGACAGGAUUUCACUAAGUUGCUGAGUCUGACUUUGAACUUGCAGUCCUCCUGCCUUAGCUUCCAGAGCCAUUGGGAUUAUAGGCAUGUGUCACUGUUGAUUUUUAAAAUCUAAAUAUAAGAGCCAGG